AUUGAACGCUGGCGGCAUGCCUUACACAUGCAAGUCGAACGGCAGCACGGGGCAACCUGGUGGCGAGUGGCGAACGGGUGAGUAAUGCAUCGGAACGUACCUUUCAGUGGGGGAUAACGUAGCGAAAGUUACGCUAAUACCGCAUAUUCUGUGAGCAGGAAAGCAGGGGGUCGCAAGACCUUGCGCUGAUUGAGCGGCCGAUGUCAGAUUAGCUAGUUGGUGAGGUAAAGGCUCACCAAGGCGACGAUCUGUAGCGGGUCUGAGAGGAUGAUCCGCCACACGGGAACUGAGACACGGUCCAGAGUCCUACGGGAGGCAGCAGUGGGGAAUUUUGGACAAUGGGGGCAACCCUGAUCCAGCCAUGCCGCGUGAGUGAAGAAGGCCUUCGGGUUGUAAAGCUCUUUCGGCCGGGAAGAAAUCGCACGGGCUAAUACCCUGUGUGGAUGACGGUACCGGAAUAAGAAGCACCGGCUAACUACGUGCCAGCCGCCGCGGUAACAC
rnacentral:rRNA from 1 species